UUCAGUAACAAACAACAAUAUCUGUUGGACACGAUCCCUAACAGACUGUUUGUGAAAAUCUCGAGUGAUGGGAGAGAAGUAGGUGUGGGGAAAUCUGUUUCAGGAACUCUGAGUCUAAGCCGCAAAACGUGUUUACAUGAGACCCAUCAACAGAAUAAGCCGAGGGACUGAAUGAGGAAUGAACUGCGGGAGGUAGGCAUUUUACAAUCAGGAAUCUGAAAUGAGACUAUGUCCCAGUUUGGGAGUCAGAGAAUUGUAGACUUUCUGGGCCAAGCCCUCAGUGAACAUUAACCCUGGAGAAUAAAGGAGCAGGGAGUUUCUAGAAGAUUCUACAUCCGGGAGUGGGGGGAGGAAAACUGUGGAGGUUGGUGUCUCAGAAAUCUUAAAGGAUGUUAAAAAAGAAAACCAUGAUUCACUGAAUUUAAAAUAGGAGAAAAGCUCAGAUUAAGAAUGAAUAACUUUAUCGAGGAUUAGGUCACAGGAAUUCUGGUUUUAAAUUGUUUACGUAGAGUUAAAGAGAAAGAAUUUGUACCAUAAGAAGAAGCCAACUAUAACAGCAAGGAAGACAUUCAAGAACAGGAUCUAGUGGCUGCACAACUGAGCUCCCUCCUCGGGCUGGAGAGAGCAGGGGCUCAAGUCCCUAAACCCGGGCCAUGGCAGCAGGGGGUCAAUGACCCAAGAAAGCAGCUUGGGACGGAGGGUGGCCCCGCAGGCUGCAUGCUGGGCUGCUGGAAGGAAGGUCUUCCGCUGAGAAGGCAGAAGAACGAGUGCUCUGCUGGAGAAUAAAGGGUCCCCCACCAUCUUAAGGCCAUUGUUGAGGGCAGCUGGAAGCACCAGAUUUGGAAGAACACAGAACAAGAGGACCAGCACCAUACCCUUCAUCUAAGGGAAGAAAUCGGAAGUUUACUUUAACAGUCCUGCAUGAGAGGGUCUGAACUGGAACAGUAUAAUCAGAAACAGAAAGGGAAGAAUCAAUACAAGACCAGUUUGGGUGGUGGGACCUAUAGGAAGUAGUGAGUAGAAAAGAGGGCAGUGGGUUAGUGGGGGUGAAGCAGAGUGGGGAGAGGAUGAGAUGACCCCUAGCCUUCAACACUGGGCAACAGAGGAGACAGCUCCAUCUACAGCCUUGGACUAGACCCUGGGGAGGAAGAACGAGCGGUCCAGGCUACUCGGGUUUCUGGCAAGAGCAGGGUGCCCAGGCUGGGACCCACACAUCUCUCUUUCACUUGGGCCUUGCCUUUCUUCCUAGACCCUGGGCCCAACCCUUUCUGAAGCAACAAAGAGGGGAAGCAACUAAGGAGAAAGGCAAAUUGCAUGGAGUUUAGCGGCAGGAAAGAUUCCUCAGCUACCUGCCCAAAGGACUGAGACAUGCAUUAAGAUAUCUUUACCCUUCUGAGGGCGUGAUCAUCAUUCCAAUUCCACCGGGCUUUUACAAGGAUUAGAAGUAAUACAUGUAAUACACCAGGCACAUAGUAUGUACCCAUGGGUAACAUCAUGGCAACCCUUUAUUAUUAUUAAUUAUUAUUAUUAUUUUAGAGACAGGUCUCACCCUCUCACCCAGGCUGGAGUGCAGUGGUGCAAACACGGCUCAAGUAACUCGUGGGCUCAAGUAAUCCUUCCACCUCAGCCUCCUGAGUAGCUGGGACUACAAGUGUGCACCACCAGGCCCAGCUAAUUAAUUUUUUGUGUGUGGAGACAGAGUCUUGUUAUGUUGCCCAGGCUGGUCUUGAAUUCCUGGCCUCAAGCUAUCCUCCUACCUCAGCCUCCCAAAGUGUUGGGAUUACAGGCAUGAGCCACUGUGCCAGGUUCCCUUUAUUUUUAAAACAUAACCUUGGUGAUCUAACAGGCACUACUUUUAAAGUCUGGCUACUCCUUACUGAGGGCUGCUUUUUUUGCCCAUUUGCUUGAUUCUGUGGCCAACGUAACACUCUCUGCUGUUCUUGAAAAACCCUCUUUCUUCUUUUCUUAUACAAGAAUCAAAAAUGUUAUCACACAGCAUUGAACAUUCUUAUAUAGAUCAGAGAAGGUGAAUGACUCGAUAAAUGACGUCAUACAUGAUUUUAUCUAUGAGCUUUGUAACCAGACAACUAAAUGUAUAAUUUAUUCCAGAGUGUCUAUUUGGAAACAAUAAAAGAACUUUGCUACCCCUGAAGUUUAUCCCAGCCUCAGUGGUUUAUAUUUUGACUUGCAUUAAAAACGACCUCUCCUCCUGAUGAGAACUGUUACUGGUCUAACUAGAAAUGUGGGGCUACAUUGCGGGAACUUGAGAAAUGGGGGCUCUCCCUGCACCGAGACAGCGCAGUG
rnacentral:lncRNA from 1 species